rnacentral:snRNA from 1 species
AGCUUUGCAAACCAGCAGUAUCGUAGACAAUGAGGUACAACAGAGAUGUGAUUAUUGCUAAUUGAAAAUCUUUACCAAUACCUGCUGUGAUGACUUGAAAUAUAGUCAGCAUUGGCAAUUUUUGACAGUCUCCCAGAAAA